rnacentral:rRNA from 1 species
GACGAACGCUGGCGGCGUGCCUAAUACAUGCAAGUCGAGCGCAGGAAAUAAACAGAACCCUUCGGGGUGAUGUUUAUGGAAUGAGCGGCGGACGGGUGAGUAACACGUGGGCAACCUGCCUGUAAGAUCGGGAUAACUCGCGGAAACGUGAGCUAAUACCGGAUAACACUUUUCAUCUCAUGGUGAGAAGAUAAAAGACGGUUUCGGCUGUCACUUACAGAUGGGCCCGCGGCGCAUUAGCUAGUUGGUGAGGUAACGGCUCACCAAGGCGACGAUGCGUAGCCGACCUGAGAGGGUGAUCGGCCACACUGGGACUGAGACACGGCCCAGACUCCUACGGGAGCAGCAGUAGGAUCUUCGCAUGACGAAGUCUGACGGAGCAACGCCGCGUGAGUGAUG